ensembl:lncRNA
CUUGCACUGACUGGUGGUGUUAAGGUAUGUAGCGCCAGGAUUUGGCUGUGCUUAAUGCAGUUUCGUUUCCUGGCACAAGAACUGCAUAAUCUGCAUAUGAUUGAGAGCAUCAAGGAUUUCUGAUGUGGGGACUGAUGUGGUUAAUUAUUAUUUAUUUAUUUGGGGUGGGGGUUUGUUUGUUUGUUUGUUUCGUUUUGUUUUUAAUUAGAGUGAGAUUUUCUCAUAAAUAAUGAAAUUAAUGUCUUUUGCAUCCAAAAUAAGCACCGUAUGGUCAGUGAGAAAGGGACCAGGAAAAGAUGAGGAAGGCAUGGCAGCUGAAGCUGAUGUGGAGACAAAAUGGACUGACUGGCAGCAGAGGAGCUAGAAUUACUGAUAAUGGCUACUCUGUACAAGACAUUGUUCACUCAGUACAUACAGAUAAUGAUUUGCUUUAUUACCAGUUUCCUGAUCCCCCCUUCAAAUGGAACAAGAACCUGUAUUUCUGCAACUGUAUUUUCAUUUGUCUUCAGGUAAGGAAAAGAUACAUUCAGUACACGUUAAACUAGAACCUUUAAUCUAACACGUUCCCUCUUCAGUGCCCCUUAUUGUGUGAGUUUUGCUUCUCUGCAGUCACCUUUAAUCGAUGAGUCAGCAGGUUUGCUGUGUCUGCUGGUCAGAGCCCAGAACUCAGCUUCUGAAACGUGGGAAGGCAGUCUCCAGUUGAGCCCACUCAACAGGCAAAGAGAGACACAUCCCUCUCCUACACUGUGAAACAGCCCCUCCUAACAGAGCAAAAAUGCUUCUGGAAAAAAAAGAACUGCAGUUUGCAAAAUUGAAUCUGGGACUUUUGUGAACGUUAGGACUGAAAAGAGAAGAGAAGGAGGCAUUAUCCAUUUCAGCUCUUCGUCAUGAGAACAGCCCUGGGCUGCAUUCCUCAAAGAAGACCACUUUUUGGCACGGGGUAUGGUCUGUUUGUGGAUGGUUCAUGGGUAACAAGGGGUAGAAAAGAAAGUUGUGGGAGCAGGGAAGAGCUGCCCAUAGCAGGAGUUAGUCAGCACAUGGAGAACGACUCCAUGAAUCAUGAAUACUGUGCAUGGGUUGGAUAUACAAAGUGGAUAUGUCGUUAGUGUAAAGUGAAGUGCUUUUUCUCCCUUGAGGGCUGUUAGCAGCUCUCUAAAAGCAGAGAGGAGAGCAGCUAGUAAAGUUGG